rnacentral:rRNA from 1 species
GAUGAACGCUGGCGGCGUGCCUAAUACAUGCAAGUCGAGCGAACGGACGAGAAGCUUGCUUCCCUGAUGUUAGCGGCGGACGGGUGAGUAACACGUGGAUAACCUACCUAUAUGACUGGGAUAACUUCGGGAAACCGUAGCUAAUACCGGAUAAUCUUUUGAACAGCAUGGUUCAAAAGUGAAAGACGGUCUUGCUGUCACUUAUAGAUGGAUCCACGCUGCAUUAGCUAGUUGGUAAGGUAACGGCUUACCAAGGCAACGAUGCAUAGCCGACCUGAGAGGGUGAUCGGCCACACUGGAACUGAGACACGGUCCAGACUCCUACGGGAGGCAGCAGUAGGGAAUAUUCCGCAAUGGGCGAAAGCCUGACGGAGCAACGCCGCGUGUGUGAUGAAGGUCUUCGGAUCGUAAAGCUCUGUUAGUAGGGAAGAACAUAGGUGUAAGUAACUGUGCACAUCUUGACGGUACCUGAUCAGAAAGCCACGGCUAACUACGUG